CGCUUUUAUCGGCCUAAAGGUAUCUUCACGCACGACUGGAUAGGCCUUUUGGAUACGCUUGUCCAAGGCCCAAGACAUAAAGUCUCCUGAAAGCUGUGUAGCAAUCAUUCCAUUGCUGACCCAUAGGAUGGUAAUCACAUACAUGAUUGGCUUCAUCUAGAAUCAUGGAUACCUUUCAUACCUUCUCAUCACAAGUUGGAACUAGUGGUCAACAUUGGGACAAUGCAGCCAUAAAUAACAUGGACCAAUAUUUUCAUGGAGUGAGCUUGACCUGCCAGCAGAGCUCACUGGAGCAGGGAGACAUGCCGUCAUCCUUUUGGCGCCUGACAAAGUACACUUUUUCUCUUCUAAAUAACACUACAGUAACAUCUUCUGCACAAAGUUACAUUCCUAAUUAGAUUGGUGUUAAGUGAGAACGAAUCCUAAAGAUGGUCCAAUGGGCAUGGUAUGAAGCCUCUCAUCAUCUCAGUGUGUUGAACCACCUGAUUUCUUGCAGACUUGAGAUUCAGAUCCUGCUGAAUGAUGUUAAGCAUUCGAUUAACCACAUGCAGGGGACGCUGAACACCAUGCAGGGGCAGUGUAUUGAGUUGCAGACUGCCAUGUCUAAGGUAGUGUCAGAUGAGUCUCAGAUACAGAAGAAUAAGUCUAUGAUGGUAUGGUGAUAAUGAUUGAGAUGGUGAUUAUAAUAAUGAUGACUAGCGGUACCCCACCCUAAGGGCAGUAAAUCAUUGGAUCUGAUUAAUUCAAUUCAAUGCAAUUCAAUCUUUGAGGAGUGCAACCAUAGAAAUACAAUGACUUUACACUAAUAAUAAGCUAUUGUCAACUUGCCGUCUAUGCUUAUCUUGCUCACUGUCAAUUGCUGACUGUUACCCUAUGAGUGCAACUAUUAUUGAUUUCUCACAGAAAAAUUAUUUGGUUGCAAAUGUACCUGGGGCCAUGUAAAUAAUUGUUAGGCUACUCAUUUUGAAUCCACCGGUGGCAACUUGUGUGACCAUAAAAGUCUGUGCGACUUGGCACAGUAAAAUAAUUUGGUUACUGACCUGCCCUACAUCAUAGAAGGCACUUCAAGUCGAACUAGGACAUUUUGACAUUUCUGAC
rnacentral:lncRNA from 13 species